rnacentral:rRNA from 1 species
AUUGAACGCUGGCGGCAUGCCUAACACAUGCAAGUCGAGCGGACGAACGGAGAUCGCUCCUCGCUUCAGCGGCCGACGGGCGAGUAAUGCAUAGGAAUAUGCCUGAUAGUGGGGGAUAAGGUCAGGACACGGGCGCUAAUACCGCAUACGACCAGAGUGUGAAAGGGGGGGAUCUUAGGACCUCACGCUACUAGCUGACCCUAGGUGGGAUUAGCUAGUUGGUAGGGUAAAGGCUUACCAAGGCGACGAUCCGUAACUGAUCUGAGAGGAUGAUCAGUCACACUGGAACUGAGACACGGUCCAGACUCCUACGGGAGGCAGCAGUGGGGAAUAUUGGACAAUGGGCGAAAGCCUGAUCCAGCCAUGCCGCGUGUGUGAAGAAGGUCUUCGGAUUGUAAAGCUCUUUUAGUUGGGAAGAAGAGCAGUAAGUUAAUAUCUGGCUGUUUUGACGUUACCAACAGAAUAAGCACCGGCUAACUUCGUG